rnacentral:lncRNA from 9 species
CUGAGGUGACCAACUCAGUUCCCAUCUACCGGAAAUAAACCUUUGAGGAGUCACACAAUUAUAAAGGAACUUGCUUCUCCGAUUCAAGAUUAAUGGUAGAUAUCAUCUGUUACUGGAGCAGUAAGAAGCACAGAUUACCUUGUCAUCCUUUCCUCACUUCUUUCCUGCUGAUCAAUAAGGCUUGGCUGUAACAGUGCUAUUGUUUUUCAUACAAUCA